CUCCACCCGCCCGCCCUCACCAACCACCACCAUCAUCCUACUUCUCCUCCUCCAUAGCUACUACCCAUGGCAGGAGUUGUAAUUAUAAAGAAGUAGAGACCCAAAUCCACAAACCCAGCAGACCCUCUUCUCUCUCUCAAACCCUAACCAUAGUAAUCCAUGGCUUCUUCUUCUUCCUCCUCUGCAAUCUCUGCAUCUCUCAGCUUCUCUUCCAAGCCUUCCUCCUCCUUCUUCAUUCGCAGCUCCAAUCUCCAUUUCUCCUCCUUCAAAUCCUCUGAUUCGUUCCUCUCUCUCAAGAACCGGAUCUGGACCCGUUCUGUCUCGAAAUCCGACCGGAAUCGGUUGAAAAUCUCGGCGAAUUCCGCUCAGAUAAUGGAUCAGGAACAGAAGCAGCAAAAGAGCACGAUCUCGAGGGUGUCGACGAUCGUGGACGUUGAUCUCGGGAACCGCAGCUACCCGAUUUACAUUGGAUCCGGUCUGCUCCAAGAACCUGGUCUUCUUCAGAGGCAUGUUCACGGGAAGAAAGUUCUUGUGGUGACGAAUACCACAGUUGCACCACUAUACCUUGAUAAAGUCAUCAAUGCUCUAACUCAUGGAAACUCUAGCAUUUCUGUUGAAGCUGUGAUUUUACCAGAUGGCGAGAAGUAUAAGGAGAUGGGUACUCUAAUGAAGGUCUUUGACAAGGCAAUUGAGUCUCGGUUGGAUCGUCGCUGUACAUUUAUUGCCCUUGGAGGCGGCGUUAUUGGUGAUAUGUGUGGCUUUGCUGCAGCUGCAUUUCUUCGUGGUGUCAAUUUCAUUCAGAUCCCCACAACUCUCAUGGCCCAGGUGGAUUCUUCUGUUGGAGGAAAAACGGGGAUAAACCACCCUCUAGGGAAAAACUUGAUUGGCGCUUUCUACCAACCCCAAAGCGUACUGAUAGACACAGACACGUUAAAUACAUUGCCUGAGAGGGAACUAGCUUCAGGAAUUUCUGAAGUUGUUAAGUAUGGGCUUAUCAGGGAUGCUGAGUUUUUUGAGUGGCAAGAGAAGAAUAUGGAUGCACUAUUAGCAAGGGACCCAAGCGCAUUGGCGUAUGCUAUCAAGCGGUCUUGUGAAAACAAAGCUGAAGUUGUCUCCUUGGAUGAGAGGGAAGGUGGAGUGAGGGCAACAUUGAACUUGGGUCAUACUUUUGGCCAUGCUAUAGAAACUGGUUCUGGAUAUGGUCAGUGGCUCCAUGGAGAAGCGGUUGCAGCUGGCAUGGUCAUGGCCGUUGACAUGUCAUACCGCCUUGGCUGGAUUGAUGAGUCAAUUGUAAAGCGGGUCUUUAGUAUUUUACAGCAUGCAAAGCUCCCAACUACCCCACCCGACAUCAUGACUGUGGAGAAGUUCAAGGCAAUCAUGGCGGUUGACAAAAAGGUAGCCGAUGGACUUUUGAGGCUUAUCCUUCUGAAAGGGUCCCUUGGCAAUUGUGUUUUCACUGGAGAUUAUGAUUGGAAGGCCCUUGAUGAAACCCUUCAUGCCUUCUGCAAGAGUUGAUUGGUCCUGGCAUGAUGUGCAUUAGUUUCUACCUGUUUUUCCGUAUGGCAGGGUAGCAAUGUAAGAGAGCGUGGAUGAGUAUGCAUUGGAGUGCAUAUGAACUUUGAAUAACUCCAUUGCACUGGUUUUCAGUGAAGCCUGAUAUUUCCAAUCUCCUGGCCUCCAUCCUUCACCUGUUUGUGAGUGUGCCAAUCUCGAGGCUUUGACGAGGAGAAAAGUAUGUGCCAGAUUAAAGGACCUGAUGUAGUGGUACAGGUUUGGAGUUAUCCCUUUUCAUUUUGCUGUUGCUGGCAAUGGAUUGUCAUCGAGGAAAAAAAGAAAAGAAAAGAAAGAUAAUUGGUCAGAUGCUGAAUCGGAAAAUGUCCACUUUUUGUAUGCCUAAUGCCUAGGAAUGCACAAUGAGUAUGAUCUCUAGUGAUGGUCCAUUGAUGA